rnacentral:rRNA from 1 species
AACGAACGCUGGCGGCAUGCCUAACACAUGCAAGUCGAACGAUUGCCUUUGGGUGAUAGUGGCGCACGGGUGCGUAACGCGUGGGAAUCUGCCCUUAGGUUCGGAAUAACAGCUGGAAACGGCUGCUAAUACCGGAUGAUAUCGCGAGAUCAAAGAUUUAUCGCCUGAGGAUGAGCCCGCGUUGGAUUAGGUAGUUGGUGGGGUAAAGGCCUACCAAGCCGACGAUCCAUAGCUGGUCUGAGAGGAUGAUCAGCCACACUGGGACUGAGACACGGCCCAGACUCCUACGGGAGGCAGCAGUGGGGAAUAUUGGACAAUGGGCGCAAGCCUGAUCCAGCAAUGCCGCGUGAGUGAUGAAGGCCCUAGGGUUGUAAAGCUCUUUUACCCGGGAAGAUAAUGACUGUACCGGGAGAAUAAGCCCCGGCUAACUCCGUG